GAGUUUGAUCCUGGCUCAGGAUGAACGCUGGCGGCGUGCCUAACACAUGCAAGUUGAACGAAGCACUGCAGACGGAGAUUCGUCGAAGCCUGCUUUGACUUAGUAGCGGACGGGUGAGUAAUGCGUGAGCAACCUGCCUUUCAGAGGGGGACAACAGUUGGAAACGACUGCUAAUACCGCAUAAUGUACAUUGGGGCAUCCCUGAUGUACCAAAGGAGCAAUCCGCUGAAAGAUGGGCUCACGUCUGAUUAGCUAGUUGGUGAGGUAACGGCUCACCAAGGCUGCGAUCA
rnacentral:rRNA from 1 species